rnacentral:SRP_RNA from 2 species
GCUAGGCAUGGUGGUGCGUGCCUGUAGUCCCAGAUACUUAGGCGGCUGAGGCAGGAGGAUUGCUUGAGGCCAGGAGUUCCAGGCUGCAGUGAGCCAUGAUUGUGCCACUGCACUCCAGCCUGGGCAACAGAGCAAGACCUUGUCUCAA